GACCUCGUGGAGGCGCGAACCGACCUAGGUUGAAAACUGGGCGGAUGACCUGUGGAUAGGGGUGAAAGGCCAAUCAAACACGGUGAUAGCUGGUUCUCUGCGAAAUGCAUUUAGGUGCAGCGUUGCGUGUUCAGUACUGGAGGUAGAGCACUGGAUGGAUUAGGGGGCCCACAAGCUUACCGACUUCAGCCAAACUCCGAAUGCCAGUACUCCAGAGCGCAGCAGUGAGACCCCGGGGGAUGAGCUUCGGGGUCGAGAGGGAAACAGCCCAGAUCGCCGGCUAAGGUCCCAAAGUGUGUGUUAAGUGGUAAACGAUGUGGGUUCGCAUAGACAGCCAGGAGGUUGGCUUAGAAGCAGCCACCCUUGAAAGAGUGCGUAAUAGCUCACUGGUCGAGUGGUCUUGCGCGGAUAAUGUAACGGGGCUCAAGUCUAGAGCCGAAGCCGCGGAUUCACGAUUUAUCGUGAGUGGUAGGGGAGCGUUGUAUGGGCAGUGAAGCGGCGGUGUGAACCAGUCGUGGAGCGCAUACAAGUGAGAAUGCUGGCAUGAGUAGCGAGAGAGGGGUGAGAAACCCCUCCGCCGUAAGCCCAAGGGUUCCUGGGGAAGGCUAAUCCGCCCAGGGUAAGUCGGGAGCUAAGACGAGGCCGAUAGGCGUAGUCGAUGCACAACCGGUUGAUAUUCCGGUACUACCGUGUACGCGCCCGAAACAAGUUCCGGUUGCUAAGGGGCUAUCUCCUUCGGGAGAUGAACUGACCCACUGGAAGGCGUUUAGCAAUGAGGGGACGCAGGAGGGUAGAUGAGCCCAGGCGAUGGUUGUCCUGGGGUAAGCCUGUAGGGAGAGGUCCAGGUAAAUCCGGACCUCAUGAAUCCUGAGAGUGCGACGCCGAUCCGUUUAAGGAGAAGUCAUCAAUCCCAUGCUGCCUAGAAAAGCCUCUAGCGAGCUUACAUGGUACCCGUACCCCAAACCGACACAGGUGGGCAGGUAGAGAAUACCAAGGCGAUCGGGAGAACUGUGGUUAAGGAACUCGGCAAAAUGCCUCCGUAACUUCGGGAGAAGGAGGACCCCAUUAGGGUGACGGACCUUGCGUCCCGAGCUCGAAGGGGUGGCACAGACCAGGGGAAAGCGACUGUUUACUAAAAACACAGCAGCGUGCGAAGUCGCAAGACGAUGUAUACGCUGUGACGCCUGCCCAAUGCCGGAAGGUUAAAGGGAAAGGUUAGUCCGCAAGGGCGAAGCUUUGAACUGAAGCCCCGGUGAAUGGCGGCCGUAACUAUAACGGUCCUAAGGUAGCGAAAUUCCUUGUCGGGUAAGUUCCGACCUGCACGAAUGGCGUAACGACUUUCCCACUGUCUCAACCACAGACCCGGCGAAAUUGAAGUACGAGUAAAGAUGCUCGUUAGCUACAGAAGGACGGAAAGACCCCGUGGACCUUUACUAUAGCUUGAUAUUGGUGUUUGAUUUGCGUUGUGUAGGAUAGGUGGGAGACUAGGAAGUCGGAGCGCUAGCUUCGGUGGAGUCAACCUUGAAAUACCACCCUGCGUACGUUGACCAUCUAACCUUGGACCGUAAUCCGGUUCGGGAACAGUGUCAGGUGGGUAGUUUGACUGGGGCGGUCGCCUCCUAAAGAGUAACGGAGGCGUUCAAAGGUUCCCUCAGACUGGUCGGCAAUCAGUCUUCGAGUGCA
rnacentral:rRNA from 1 species